rnacentral:rRNA from 1 species
GACGAACGCUGGCGGCGUGCUUAACACAUGCAAGUCGAACGGAAAGGCCCUGCUUUUGUGGGGUGCUCGAGUGGCGAACGGGUGAGUAACACGUGAGUAACCUGCCCUUGACUUUGGGAUAACUUCAGGAAACUGGGGCUAAUACCGGAUAGGAGCUCCUGCUGCAUGGUGGGGGUUGGAAAGUUUCGGCGGUUGGGGAUGGACUCGCGGCUUAUCAGCUUGUUGGUGUGGUAGUGGCUUACCAAGGCUUUGACGGGUAGCCGGCCUGAGAGGGUGACCGGCCACAUUGGGACUGAGAGACGGCCCAGAAUCCUACGGGAGGAAGCAGGGGGGAAUAUUGCACAAUGGGCGGAAGCCUGAUGCAGAAACGCCGCGUGCGGGAUGACGGCCUUCGGGUGGUAAACCGCUGUCGCAUGUGACGAAGCGUGAGUGAUGGUAAUGGGUAAAGAAGCACCGGCUAACUACGUG